rnacentral:rRNA from 1 species
GUGUCAGCAGCCGCGGUAAUACGGGGGGAGCAAGCGUUGUUCGGAAUCACUGGGCGUAAAGGGCGUGUAGGCGGCCAAGUAAGUCGGGGGUGAAAUCCACUGGCUCAACCAGUGACGUGCCUUCGAAACUGCCUGGCUUGAGUAUGGCAGAGGGAAGCGGAAUUCCAGGUGUAGCGGUGAAAUGCGUAGAUAUCUGGAAGAACACCGGUGGCGAAGGCGGCUUCCUGGGCCAAUACUGACGCUGAGGCGCGAAAGCCAGGGGAGCGAACGGGAUUAGAAACCCGGGUAGUCC